UCUCUGUGACAUCUCCAAAUGGAGGACUGGUCAGGGUUCCUGAUUGUGCAGAGAUCAUCAAGGGUUACAGCUUCAUCCUCACCUGCACAAAUAAUGAACACUAUCCUGGAGGAGUUUUCAAUCUCAUCCUCUAUGGCUCCAAUGUGAAACACACCAAACUCACCAAGCCAUCUGUCAACAACUCAGCCUCCUUUAGUUUCCCUGUAGCUGACUUUGAACAUGAGGGCGAGUACAGCUGUGUGUAUGAGAUAACUCUGUCAGGAGGGACAUUCACUUCACCUGAAGAUUGGCUUUAUGUUUCUGUGAUAUAUUCAAGAACUCCAAUCCUGAGAUAUGUUUUCCUGCCACUAAUUCUGCUUUUGGAGAACAUUGCCCUUCAUUUCUACUAUAAGGUCAUCAAAAAGCAGAAAUCAGACAAAAAGCAGAACGAUGAGACGGAUGUUUCCAAAGCUGAAGAAGUGGAGGCCGAGGAGGAAGCAGUCCAAGAAAUAGAAUAGAAACAUAUAGAAACACACACAAGUCUAAAUUUUUGUUGGAAUUUAGA